UCCGGCUUAUCACCGGCAGUCCCUCUAGAGUGCCCAACUAAAUGAUGGCAACUAAAGGCGAGGGUUGCGCUCGUUGCGGGACUUAACCCAACAUCUCACGACACGAGCUGACGACAGCCAUGCAGCACCUGUGCACCAGCCCCGAAGGGAGGGUGUGUUUCCACACCUGUCUAGUGCAUGUCAAGCCCCGGUAAGGUUCUUCGCGUUGCGUCGAAUUAAACCACAUGCUCCACCGCUUGUGCGGGCCCCCGUCAAUUCCUUUGAGUUUCAACCUUGCGAUUGUACUUCCCAGGUGGAAUACUUAAUGCGUUAGCUUGGAUACUGAUCCUAUAAAGGACCAACAUCUAGUAUUCAUCGUUUAGGGUGUGGACUAC
rnacentral:misc_RNA from 1 species